UACGAAGGGGGCUAGCGUUGCUCGGAAUCACUGGGCGUAAAGCGCACGUAGGCGGGUUCUUAAGUCGGUGGUGAAAUCCGUGGAGCUCAACUCCAGAACUGCCUCCGAUACUGAGAGCCUCGAGUCCGGGAGAGGUGAGUGGAACUGCGAGUGUAGAGGUGAAAUUCGUAGAUAUUCGCAAGAACACCAGUGGCGAAAGGCGGCUCACUGGCCCGGUACUGACGCUGAGGUGCGAAAGCGUGGGGAGCAAACAGG
rnacentral:rRNA from 1 species